UACGUAGGGUGCGAGCGUUAUCCGGAAUUACUGGGUGUAAAGGGUGCGUAGGCGGCCAUGCAAGUCAUAUGUGAAAACUCAGGGCUCAACCUUGAGACUGCAUCUGAAACUGUGUGGCUAGAGUAUGGGAGAGGAAAGUGGAAUUCCGAGUGUAGCGGUGAAAUGCGUAGAGAUUCGGAGGAACACCAGUAGCGAAGGCGGCUUUCUGGACCAUAACUGACGCUGAGGCACGAAAGCGUGGGGAGCAAACAGG
rnacentral:rRNA from 1 species